rnacentral:rRNA from 1 species
GACGAACGCUGGCGGCGUGCCUAACACAUGCAAGUCGAACGGAAAGGCCCUGCUUUUGUGGGGUGCUCGAGUGGCGAACGGGUGAGUAACACGUGAGUAACCUGCCCCUGACUUUGGGAUAACUUCAGGAAACUGGGGCUAAUACCGGAUAGGGGCUCCUGCUGCAUGGUGGGGGUUGGAAAGUUUCGGCGGUUGGGGAUGGACUCGCGGCUUAUCAGCUUGAUAGUGGGGUAGUGGCUUACCAAGGCUUUGACGGAUAGCCGGCCUGAGAGGGUGACCGGCCACCAUGCGACUGAGGGAGGGAGCAGUCUCGUACGGGAGGCAACGGUCGGGAAUAUUACACAGUGAGCGGGAGCGUGAUACAGAGGCGCCCGGUGCGGAAAGACGGCCUUCGGGUUGUGAACAGCUUUCGCCUGUGACGCGGCGGGAGUGACGGUAAUGGAUAAAGAAGCACCGGCUAACUACGUG